GACGAACGCUGGCGGCGUGCCUAAUACAUGCAGGUAGAACGCUGAAGGAGGAGCUUGCUUCUCCGGAUGAGUUGCGAACGGGUGAGUAACGCGUAGGUAACCUGCCUGGUAGCGGGGGAUAACUAUUGGAAACGAUAGCUAAUACCGCAUAAGAGUAGAUGUCGCAUGACAUUUGCUUAAAAGGUGCAACUGCACCACUACCAGAUGGACCUGCGUUGUAUUAGCUAGUUGGUGAGGUAACGGCUCACCAAGGCAACGAUACAUAGCCGACCUGAGAGGGUGAUCGGCCACACUGGGACUGAGACACGGCCCAGACUCCUACGGGAGGCAGCAGUAGGGAAUCUUCGGCAAUGGACGGAAGUCUGACCGAGCAACGCCGCGUGAGUGAAGAAGGUUUUCGGAUCGUAAAGCUCUGUUGUAAGAGAAGAACGAGUGUGAGAGUGGAAAGUUCACACUGUGACGGUAUCUUACCAGAAAGGGACGGCUAACUACGUG
rnacentral:rRNA from 1 species